rnacentral:rRNA from 2 species
AAUAAGACUCUCGGCAACGGAUAUCUAGGCUCUCGCAUCGAUGAAGAACGUAGCAAAAUGCGAUACUUGGUGUGAAUUGCAGAAUCCCGUGAACCAUCGAGUUUUUGAACGCAAGUUGCGCCCGAAGCCAUUAGGCCGAGGGCACAUCUGCCUGGGCGUCACGCAU